CCAGACCGUUGGGGAAGCUGGGUAGGCCCUCCAGGUCUAAUAGCCCACCAUCCUCCUCUAUACACCAUUGUUGGUCUUAUGCAGGUCCAGACCGUUGGGGAAGCAGGGUAGGCCCUCCAGGUCUAACAUCCCACCAUCCUCCUCUAUACACCAUUGUUGGCCUUAUGCAGGUCCAGACCGUUGGGGAAGCUGGGUAGGCCCUCCAGGUCUAACAUCCCACCAUCCUCCUCUAUACACCAUUGUUUGCCUUAUGCAGGUCCAGACCGUUGGGGAAGCUGGGUAGGCCCUCCAGGUCUAACAGCCCACCAUCCUCCUCUAUACACCAUUGUUUGCCUUAUGGAAACUUUUUCUUUCUCAAAGGCCAACAGGCCACUGUCCAAUAGUGAGCAGUGGUGUUCCCACGGUCUACCUAGCUAACUGUUGUUGUAGGCUAGUUUGCAGCAGCUGCAGCAGAUGUUGUCAAAGAGGAUGUUGUUGCUCAUUUGUUAGCUUGUCCCUUUUCAAGAAUAACUUUCAACAAGAAGUUACAUUUUAAAUGAUCAUCAUCUGUUGAGUGGAACUGGUGUUUUAAUUGCAGCUCGCAUGCUGUUGUUAGCCAUCUCUUUGAUAAGAACUUACGUGUACGAAACAUUGUUGCAUUUAAAGUGGAACUGGUGUUUUAAUUGCAGCUCGCAUGCUGUUGUUAGCCAUCUUUUUGAUAAGAACUUACGUGUGCGAAACAUUGUUGCAUUUAAACUUUAGAUCACUGGUUACUUUGUGUACUUAACACAAUGUUAAGUAAUAGUUGUACAUUUCAAUUGGAAAUUGCUUAGCCUAAUGGUUGUGUUUUUGUAUUAUGAUUGUGACCUAAUUACUAAGCUUAUCCUUUCCAUCGGCCCUAUGCAGUGGUGUAGAGGUGCCUGGAGAAGUGGGUCCUGUGUGAAGGGAAGGCGCCCUGUGUGAAAAAUCCUAUGUUUUCCUAUAGAUUAUUCAGAUGUACACUCUCAAAAUGACACCAAAAAAAUUAUAAUAACAAUCCUUAAACCAUUUUUGAGGUCUGGGAAAAAUCUAAAAUAUAUAUUUUUGGAGGGUGUAGUUACCCUUUAAUUCAAUUGAGCAAAACAAAUGCCCUCCCCAUUGAUACAAAUCGGCAUUAUAUCAUUCUGUCAGGUAGGCCAACAUUAUGUUCAACAUUUUAAUUGGGAAGGUGUUUGGGGAAAGCCUUUAGAAAUGUUCAUGCAAACAGUGGAUGAUGACUGAAAUGGAGAUUGAAAAUAGCCUACGAACCAAGAUGA